rnacentral:rRNA from 1 species
AUGCACGCUGGCGGCGUGCCUAAUACAUGCAAGUCGAGCGAACAGAUGAGGAGCUUGCUCCUCUGACGUUAGCGGCGGACGGGUGAGUAACACGUGGAUAACCUACCUAUAAGACUGGGAUAACUUCGGGAAACCGGAGCUAAUACCGGAUAAUAUAUUGAACCGCAUGGUUCAAUAGUGAAAGACGGUUUUGCUGUCACUUAUAGAUGGAUCCGCGCCGCAUUAGCUAGUUGGUAAGGUAACGGCUUACCAAGGCAACGAUGCGUAGCCGACCUGAGAGGGUGAUCGGCCACACUGGAACUGAGACACGGUCCAGACUCCUACGGGAGGCAGCAGUAGGGAAUCUUCCGCAAUGGGCGAAAGCCUGACGGAGCAACGCCGCGUGAGUGAUGAAGGUCUUCGGAUCGUAAAACUCUGUUAUUAGGGAAGAACAAAUGUGUAAGUAACUAUACACGUCUUGACGGUACCUAAUCAGAAAGCCACAGCUAACUACGUG